rnacentral:lncRNA from 12 species
GUGAUGCUGGCCUAGAUCUUGGAGGAGGAUGUUGAUGGUUAUGGGAGUGAAGUGACACGAACUAGAGCAGAUCCUUAGUGGUAAGACAGGCGUGAAAGGAAGUCCUUCGAGGAGGGUGUAGAAGCUCCCAUCCGGAUGCCCCAGGAACCCUGCCUGGAGCCUACGAGCCGCAGCAAGUGCUCCAUGUGGGUAUGGUUUCUGGCUGACUAAAUUCUAGGAUAUUCAGUAUUGGCUGACUGAAGCUCUCAUUCAAGAUGUAAUGGAACCAACGUAAUUUUGCUUUAUGGUUUCCAUGAAGGAGUGCAUCCCUCAUUCUCACCAAGGAAAGUACCAGGCAGAUGAAAAACCAAAACCAUCUUAGGCAGCCUCCAAUUAUAAACUCAGAAGAGACCUUUGGGUACAUAAGUUCAGCCUUUGAAGAUAGAGACAAAGCACACAGGCUGUGGCGGUGCCAGAUGUCAGAGCUACACACAUGGUUGCCUGCAAGAAGGAGAGAGUAUCCCUUACAGCUCUCUCUUAGGAAUGAGGAGUCUUUUCUCAGUUCCCUCAGCAGGAUAUCUCCAACCAGAACAUGUCACACAUUCCCUCCAGAACCAGCUAUUAAUAAAGGAGAUGGGAUAACUCUUAGACCAACAAGGCCACCUCCUGGGGCUGUGGUAGGGCCAGCUUCCCCUAAGAACAUGGAGGUGUGCAGGGAGGUCGAUACCGGAUUCGAAUGACAUUUCUGUCAGGAAGAAGGGAUGGAAGUGGGCCCUAGAUAGCUCAUUAACUUUGCUCAUUUUUUUUUUUUUUUUUAGGUGCAGCUGCAUCUCUGUACUGAAGUAUAAUAUUUAAUAAGCAUCCUAUGGUGAUAAUAGUGAUGAUGUGAAUACUAUGAAUCUCGACCAUUUUUGUGUGUGAUGUACACUAUGCUGAGCUGGUUAAUAUAUCCAUUUAAUUCUCAUAACUUGGGGAUCCCUGGGUGGCGCAGUGGUUUGGCGCCUGCCUUUGGCCCAGGGCGCGAUCCUGGAGACCCGGGAUCGAAUCCCACAUCGGGCUCCCGGUGCAUGGAGCCUGCUUCUCCCUCGGCCUCUCUCUCUCUCUCUCUCUCUCUGACUAUCAUAAAUAAAUAAAAAUUAAAAAAAAUUUAAUUCUCA